rnacentral:lncRNA from 1 species
GCCAGACCAGUUCCUUCCUCCCCUCAAACGGACAUUUCACUUCUUGCUCGACAGACAGAACCACGUAGGUGGCCUGCGUGGAAGGGACCAGCUGCCCGCUGCUCCCCGGCCAGCAACACAAAGACUCAGAAUGGGGUUCACCCUGUGCAGGUGCCUUGGGCUACCCGCUUGUUGAACGUCCCGGUGACCCUGUGAGUAAGAACCCUGUCCCCACUUACGAGGAGCAGACAGAGAGGCUAGCAGCUGACUUCAGAUCACCCAGCCUGGCAGGGACCACAACAGCCUGCUGGCUUAGGAUGCUCCUGACAGGGGACACAUGCCAAGAGAAGUGACCGAGCAAAAGCCCCUUGGCCAGUCCACUGCCCUCAGGGAACCCCCAAACCUGAACAGCAUUGGCUACCAGAAGUUCCAGGGAGACUCCCGCUGCUGCGGGGGGACAGGUGCACUGUGCACACUCACCACUGCCCUGCGGGGGGGGGGGGGGGACAGGGGCACUGUGCACGCUCACCGCUGCCCUAUGGGGGGACAGGGGCACUGUGUACCUCACCGCUGCCCCGCCCUCAGUGGGUGUGUCUUCCUCCUUGAGCAUCAGGUUUAACCUGGGCACCGAGGGGGGAGCUAAACAAUUUACCUGGAAAGAAAUGGGAAUAUCACUGUUCUGCCCGGUGGUGAUUUCACAUGGACUCGAGGGCAGACACCUGCAGCCUUCCAGGGUCUCCCUCACACCUGCCUGCCAGCUCCCACCUGGGGGCAGUGGGGAGGGUGGGGACCCUGUCACCACACCACAGCUGGCUCCUGAGCCUGGCUUUCCACCCAGCCACAGUGUGACUAGCCCUCUCUGCCUCAGACUCCUCAUCUGUGAACGUGGACAGAGAGAAGACCAGCUUCGGGAGGCUGGGUGAGCAGGGGAUGACGGGCUGGCCAGCAGGGUGCUUCCUGACUCCUCCGCGACCCCCGCCUGCCAGCUGGCUGUGCCUCGGUUUCCCCACCAUGAGAUGAGGGUAAAAUCGGGGGACGGGUGGGCUUCCACUGAGGGAAAGAGAGAACAACACGCACCUCCAGGUGACCAGAGCUCUUUGCGUCCCCUCUUGAACUGCACCCUGACCAUCUGCACCCCUGGGGCAGCGGAACUUUGCCAGGGAUGCAUAGCCUUGGCCUUCCACAUCUCAAUGACUCUGUGAUAUGUAUCACGUACACCCACCCCACUGUCAGGUGUGCGAAGGCACUUCCGUCCCCACCACACCUUGAACCCUGCUGGCCAUCUAGACAACUCUGCCUGCUCAGUUCCGCCCGAAGGCCUCCUCCUGCGGGAGGCUCUCCCUGGCCUCCCCAGCCUCUGACUUCUAUCACACAGGGUUCAGGCCCUGAGCCCUGAGACAGGGACCAGGCUGGGCUCAGACCCAGGUCCCCCUCCCCCGCUGGCAGCGGUAGGGGGAAGGGUCAGCACAGGCAUUCCACAAGGACCUCACAACAGGGUCCUGAAACCCCCGCAGGAGGCCAGCACGGAGGCCAGCUCGGCCGGACCUCUGCUUCCAGGUGGCUGGGUCAGCGAAGUUCUGAGCUCUCACUUGGACACCGCGUCUCACCGACAGAAGGAAGAGGAGAUUUCACAGCCUCUGCCACAGAACCUAAGUGGGCAGCCACCAGGCAGCCAGGCGGUCCCCACUGGGGCCUAAGGAGGACUCAGGAAUUCCACCCCUCCCCCAGCGGCCUCCGCAGUCCUCCUGCAGGGGCCCCAAAGCUCCCUCGAGGCGGGACACUCCGCGCCAGGGCUCAGGGAAAGUGAAAGCAGCCAGCGCUGGCUCCCCCGGGGCGACCCGAGGCCGGCCGAUGGGUCUGCACCUCUGGCUCGGGUUCGGCCGCGGUGUGCGGCGCUGGCGGCCAGGCCCGGCCCCGGUUUGACUCCGCGCGCUCGGCCGCCUCAUCUGCGAAGCGGGAGCGGUG